rnacentral:ncRNA from 2 species
CUACGGUGGGCGGGCCGUGGUGUUCGGGAAGCCGGUGCACUGUGCUCGUCACAGGAGUCCGGAGCGGCCCUCGCCACUGUGAUCGGGGAGUCGUCGGCUCCCACCUCGUGCCACUGGCCUCGCGGCCGGGAAGGCCGGGCGCCGACGCCGAACACCCCGUCAGCCAGGAGACCGGCCACGGCAUCUCACGAAGU